rnacentral:lncRNA from 1 species
AAAAAGAAAACUUGCUACUUAAGGACACCUUGAAGAAAUUCGAGGUUGGUAGCAAGUCAUUAAACAUGAUCCUUACAAACAAGGAUCACGUUCCAAAAAGAAGUGGAAUUGGAUUCGUGAGAUGUCCUCACCAAAAUCCAACCACCUUCAUAAAAGGCUCCAUCUUACAUAUUCGACAUCAAGACAAAUGUAACUUCUAUUGUAAAUUUGGA